GAUGAACGCUGGCGGCGUGCUUAACACAUGCAAGUCGAACGGAAAGGCCCAAGCUUGCUUGGGUACUCGAGUGGCGAACGGGUGAGUAACACGUGGGUGAUCUGCCCCGCACUUCGGGAUAAGCCUGGGAAACUGGGUCUAAUACCGGAUAGGACCACUUCUUGGAGGUUGUGGUGGAAAGUUUUUUCGGUGUGGGAUGAGCUCGCGGCCUAUCAGCUUGUUGGUGGGGUAAUGGCCUACCAAGGCGUCGACGGGUAGCCGGCCUGAGAGGGUGUACGGCCACAUUGGGACUGAGAUACGGCCCAGACUCCUACGGGAGGCAGCAGUGGGGAAUAUUGCGCAAUGGGCGCAAGCCUGAUGCAGCGACGCCGCGUGGGGGAUGACGGCCUUCGGGUUGUAAACUCCUUUCGCUAGGGACGAAGCGCAAGUGACGGUACCUAGAGAAGAAGCACCGGCUAACUACGUG
rnacentral:rRNA from 1 species